rnacentral:lncRNA from 1 species
GAUAUUAUAUUAAAAACUGAAGGGCGGGGCCAGAAAAUGACCUUGGAAGACCACAUCCAGCCCCCGGGCCCUUAGUUUGGGGACCCCUGCUCAAGUAUAUACAGUAUUUCUCAAGUCUCUUCAUCCCAACCAUCAAAAGGAGUUCAACCUUUAUUUUUAUUUUUCUGGUCCCACUCACUUUUCCUUUUGCAUAUAUUUUCAUGCAAGGCACUGGCCAGGUAAUCUCUACCAAAGCAAGAAGGUAUGAACUACAAUCUAAAUUCCAGGAACAGCAAUCAUAACUUGAAAAAGCAAUUUUUUUAGACUGUAACUGCCAUCAAACAUGGUACCCUGCCCACCCCGGCAAUUCAUCGAGUACACCUAGGUCAAAUUGAAUGCAAUAAUUUCCUUUCUCUCACUUUCUGCAAGGUCUCCACAACCCGCAUGGCAGACCAGCAGCAGCAACCCACCCCCAGAAGCCUAUAACCCAUUGCUCUUGCUACCACCAAAUCAAAAAGAUGAGUGGGAUGGCAUCAUGUUAUCAUGACACAGAAGCGAAGUUUCUUUGGAGAUCCCCAUUUUCCUGGAUAAGAAUCCACUUCUAGCAACACCCACUAGCUUUCUGGAAGUUUCUGCAGAUUAUAAUCAUCCUCAUUCCAGGAAUCUUGAACCGAGCAUCGGUACAAAGCAACCACAUCUUACUUGGUGCUUGAGCUCUGUGACAAGCUCAGGCAAAGUUGUUGUCUGUUGCUACAGACAACGUUUGAUUUAUGGUCACCAUGCUCUUUCCAUCCAAGAGGUGCGGCUACUUGGGUACUCUUGCUCUGUUU